rnacentral:piRNA from 1 species
CCUGCCUUUACUAUAAUCUGGAUUGAUUUG